AGGGGCAUAGUUUAGUGGUAAAACAGUGGUCUCCAAAACCACGGACGGGAGUCCGAUUCUCUCUGCCCCUGCCA
rnacentral:tRNA from 2 species